rnacentral:tRNA from 1 species
UGGCUCAGAGGGUAGAGCAUCUGCCUGCAAUGCAGGAGACCUGGGUUUGAUCCCUG